CGGCAGAGCGUGUGGUCCAGGUCGAAGCCCAUCACCUCGCACUCGGCCAGGGAGAAGUGCCGCGGCAUCGCGGAGCGGGCGCGGCCCCGCCGCCGCCGCCGCCGCCGGGCUCUCUUUUAGUUACUCCUUUGCUGGAGGAUCGCACUGGUACCCCGAGCUGGAGGGGCCCUGGCCCAGGCGAGGACAGCGGCUGCCUGCGAGGGCAGGGGCACCACAGUUUCCUAGUAAAAGCUGGAGUUUCAGGUCUCCACUUGAUUUAGCUUGUAAUCCAUGAAGAUGUUCAAUACACAGGAAGGUGGAAGAGUAUCUUGGUCCAGUGUUCCCAUCCUGCACUAACAGUGGCAUUGGCAUUCCAGGCUCCCUGUCACCACUAAAGCGUGCCUGACUCUCCUUAUGGACUAACUCUCUGCUCUUCACAGCACAAAUCCCCAUUUGAGGGCUAUGACUUCAGUCUUGGACUGGCAAAAGGAGGUAUCAGUCAUCCUUUGGACUUUUCACCUUGCCUUGAUGGAAUUCCAGUUUCCGAAGGUAAAGAUGCAAAACCAUGCUCAGAAGUCAUCCACGGCAUAGCAGGCAGAAGUUGAUAGAGUUAUGUGAGAAAUGAGCUUGUCCCAUCCUGAAGUCUCCACAAAAAGAUACACUCCAAAUCUCCAUAACAGGAUCAGUUUCAGAAGAGACUUGCUUAGAAGAAUGGCAGAAUCAUCUUCACUGAGAAUUCUUUGAUCAUCCACUUAUCAUAUUUUUCCUACCCAGAGAUAGAUUUGAUCAGAAAUAUUUAUCAUGCCUUAGAAAACUACAGAAUGAUUUUAUUCAGAAUGCCUGAUUCAGAGAAAACAAAUUACCUUACAGUUUUUAACACUAUGGGCUAUAUGUUAUUUAGAAUAAUGUAUGAUAAAAAGAAAAAUAAUGACUUCAGUCAGGUCCCGUUGAAGAUAACAGCAAAACUUGCAUUUAACUUAGGAAGAGUGAGAUCUGAUUGUUUGAAAAAACAGAAAAAGUCACAUAUAUUAGCUCACUUCUUGGCAGAAUCUAAUUCCUCUCUGUUCAUUUGUUGCCAGACAUAGCUUGUUUUAGCCCCCAGUUCGGGAAAUAAAUAAGCAACCCUCAUCACUAAAGCACUUGAAAAUGUACUUUUAAUGCUUUCUAGAGCAGAGAUAGAUUACUGGAUCAGCCUUAUGAAAAUAAACAACCAGAUUUUUUCUCAUUACAAAUGCACACAACUUAAAACUGGAAAAUACAGGAUCAAAUCUAACCUUAUGUCUUUGUAGAUUUAUGGUUUAAGAUCAUACCCAAAAGAAGAACAUGAUUAAUCAAUAAGGAUAAACAGUUUUGUCGAGAGUAAAAUUACAUACAUAAUUUAUUUUCAUUGAAAAGAAGGGCAAUUUGCAAAUUAUAGAAACAAAAUGGAAGGGCUGAUUAAAAGGAUUAUAAAAAAGCUACAAAGUAGUGGUAAUGUGUUUCAUUCUAACACGCAAAUUAAAAGAAAUAUUGCUGAAAAGACAGCUAUAAUAAACGCCCCCCGUGCUUCAUUUCUAUUUAUUGUUUUAACAACCAACACAACUUUAAAAAUUUUAAUCGCUUAAAUUAUUUACCACACACACA